GACUCCUACGGGAGGCAGCAGUGGGGAAUUUUGGACAAUGGGCGCAAGCCUGAUCCAGCCAUGCCGCGUGCGGGAAGAAGGCCUUCGGGUUGUAAACCGCUUUUGUCAGGGAAGAAAAGACUCCUGUUAAUACCGGGGGUUCAUGACGGUACCUGAAGAAUAAGCACCGGCUAACUACGUGCCAGCAGCCGCGGUAAUACGUAGGGUGCAAGCGUUAAUCGGAAUUACUGGGCGUAAAGCGUGCGCAGGCGGUUAUGCAAGACAGAUGUGAAAUCCCCGGGCUCAACCUGGGAACUGCAUUUGUGACUGCAUGGCUAGAGUACGGUAGAGGGGGAUGGAAUUCCGCGUGUAGCAGUGAAAUGCGUAGAUAUGCGGAGGAACACCGAUGGCGAAGGCAAUCCCCUGGACCUGUACUGACGCUCAUGCACGAAAGCGUGGGGAGCAAACAGGAUUAGAUACCCUGGUAGUCCACGCCCUAAACGAUGUCAACUGGUUGUUGGGAGGGUUUCUUCUCAGUAACGUAGCUAACGCGUGAAGUUGACCGCCUGGGGAGUACGGCCGCAAGGUUGAAACUCAAAUGAAUUGACGGGGA
rnacentral:rRNA from 1 species